AAUUUUGCUACUUGUGCUAUCUGGGGGAUGGCUUGGCUUGAGUUGCCUAUGAAGGUCGUGGUAAGCUGCGAUAAGCUUGGGCGAGGAGCAUACAUCCUUUGAACCCAAGAUUGCCUAAUGGGACUUCCUAACACAUUUUAUGUGUUGAUCCGUGUAGGAUUGGGAACCCACUGAAUUGAAACAUCUUAGUAGGUGGAGGAAAAGAAAGCAAUAUGCGAUAUCGUUAGUAACGGCGAGCGAAACCGAUACAGAACAAACUGAAUCCCACUUAGUGAUUUGUGGGAGAUGUGGUGUGUAGACUUACUUUUUGGCUUCAUUAAAUAAAUCGAAUUCUAUUUGGAAUUUUAGAACCGUAGAGGGUGAUAGUCCCGUAGAUAUGUUUAUUUGAAGUUUUUGUAAUGUUCUCGAGUAGUAUCCGUUGGAUAUCGGGUAUGAAUGUGGGAGGCAUCAACUCCUAAUUCUAAAUACAUCUCAAGACCGAUAGAGUAGAAGUACCGUGAGGGAAAGCUGAAAAGUACCCCUAUAGGGGGGUGAAAAGUACCUGAAACCAGAUAGUGAUGGCCAGAUGUGGCAUGUAAGGAAUGAAUUCUUCCGAACGAAUCAAUGGUAACGUUGUAUUAGGGGGAAGUUGGACUAGUGUU
rnacentral:rRNA from 1 species